rnacentral:rRNA from 1 species
CCUACGGGAGGCAGCAGUAGGGAAUAUUGCUCAAUGGGGGAAAGCCUGAAGCAGCAACGCCGCGUGGGGGAUGAAGGUUUUCGGAUUGUAAACUCCUUUUGUUAGGGAAGAUAAUGAUGGGAUCUAACGAAUAAGCACCGGCUAACUCCGUGCCAGCAGCCGCGGUAAUACGGAGGGUGCAAGCGUUACUCGGAAUCACUGGGCGUAAAGAGCGCGUAGGCGGGAUAGCAAGUCAGAUGUGAAAUCCUAGGGCUUAACCAUAGAACUGCAUUUGAAACUGGUAUUCUAGAGUAUGGGAGAGGUAGGUGGAAUUCUUGGUGUAGGGGUAAAAUCCGUAGAGAUCAAGAGGAAUACUCAUGGCGAAGGCGACCUGCUAGAACAUAACUGACGCUGAUGCGCGAAAGCGUGGGGAGCAAACAGGAUUAGAUACCCGUGUAGUC